AGCUUUUCGAAUCCGUGCUGAGAUUUCGUCGGUUACCAACCCAUUAGGGCUGAUCAGACUUCCAACAUAAGUAAAGUU
rnacentral:pre_miRNA from 1 species